GAUGAACGCUGGCGGCGUGCCUAAUACAUGCAAGUCGAGCGAACGGACGAGAAGCUUGCUUCUCUGAUGUUAGCGGCGGACGGGUGAGUAACACGUGGAUAACCUACCUAUAAGACUGGGAUAACUUCGGGAAACCGUAUCUAAUACCGGAUAAUAUUUUGAACCGCAUGGUUCAAAAGUGAAAGACGGUCUUGCUGUCACUUAUAGAUGGAUCCGCGCUGCAUUAGCUAGUUGGUAAGGUAACGGCUUACCAAGGCAACGAUGCAUAGCCGACCUGAGAGGGGGAUCGGCCACACGGGAACGGAGACACGGUCCAGACUACUACGGGAGGCAGCAGUAGGGAAUCUUCCGCAAUGGGCGAAAGCCUGACGGAGAAACGCCGCGUGAGUGAUGAAGGUCUUCGGAUCGUAAAACUCUGUUAUUAGGGAAGAACAUAUGUGGAAGUAACUGUGCACAUCUUGACGGUACCUAAUCAGAAAGCAACGGCUAACUACGUG
rnacentral:rRNA from 1 species